CAGAUAGCAUGCCAUGUCUAAGUAUAAGCAAUUAUACCGUGAAACUGCGAAUGGCUCAUUAAAUCAGUUAUCGUUUAUUUGAUAGUACCUUACUACUUGGAUAACCGUGGUAAUUCUAGAGCUAAUACAUGCUGAAAACCCCAACUUCGGGAGGGGUGUAUUUAUUAGAUAAAAAACCAACGCCCUUCGGGGCUUCUUGGUGAUUCAUGAUAACUUUACGGAUCGCAUGGCCUUGCGCCGGCGACGGUUCAUUCAAAUUUCUGCCCUAUCAACUUUCGAUGGUAAGGUAUUGGCUUACCAUGGUUUCAACGGGUAACGGGGAAUUAGGGUUCGAUUCCGGAGAGGGAGCCUGAGAAACGGCUACCACAUCCAAGGAAGGCAGCAGGCGCGCAAAUUACCCAAUCCCGACACGGGGAGGUAGUGACAAUAAAUACUGAUACAGGGCUCUUUUGGGUCUUGUAAUUGGAAUGAGUACAAUUUAAACCUCUUAACGAGGAACAAUUGGAGGGCAAGUCUGGUGCCAGCAGCCGCGGUAAUUCCAGCUCCAAUAGCGUAUAUUAAAGUUGUUGCAGUUAAAAAGCUCGUAGUUGAAACUUGGGUCUGGCUGGCAGGUCCGCCUCACCGCGUGUACUUGUCCGGCCGGGCCUUCCUUCUGGAGAACCUCAUGCCCUUCACUGGGCGUGUUGGGGACCAGGACUUUUACUUUGAAAAAAUUAGAGUGUUCAAAGCAGGCCUUUGCUCGAAUACGUUAGCAUGGAAUAAUAGAAUAGGACGUGCGGUUCUAUUUUGUUGGUUUCUAGGACCGCCGUAAUGAUUAAUAGGGACAGUCGGGGGCAUCAGUAUUCAAUUGUCAGAGGUGAAAUUCUUGGAUUUAUUGAAGACUAACUACUGCGAAAGCAUUUGCCAAGGAUGUUUUCAUUAAUCAGUGAACGAAAGUUAGGGGAUCGAAGACGAUCAGAUACCGUCGUAGUCUUAACCGUAAACUAUGCCGACUAGGGAUCGGGCGAUGUUCUUUUUUUUGACUCGCUCGGCACCUUACGAGAAAUCAAAGUUUUGGUCUGGGGG
rnacentral:rRNA from 1 species